GAAGCGCGAGCCGGGAGGCUCGCUCCCGACGUCUCCGCAGUAGGGGGAGUUAGGGUCUGCCAGAGUGGGCAGCUCAUCAGUUUAUACAAAGAAGCCAGCUGGAAUUCUGAGCUUGAUUGCACUGAAUCUAUAGAUUAGAUUGCGGAGUAUCAUCAUUUUAACAAUAUGUGUCUCCUCUACCAAUCUGUGAACCCUUUGAAGACAAGGACCAAGUCUGAUCCAUCUGUUUGUUCCAAGGGCCCAGCACAGGCUGAUACACCUCACACUGGCCAGACUGCAUGAGGCAUGUUGUUAUCUUCAGUUCCCAGCAAGACAGAUUAAAGGGCACAUUAGCCAUUGGAGCCUUUUGAGAUGAAGGCAGUGGUGUGGUGUCUGGAAGCCACGUUCUGUGAAGAACAGAAGAAGAAUCAGGAAAGCUUAACUUGAAGAGACCACUACUGGGAGAGAAUUCAUUCGCUGACUCAAUAGACCAUUUCUGGGCACCUCCUCUAUCCCAGGCCCUGGUCUGGGGCUGAGAGAGCCACAGAUGAUGGAGCUACAGUCCCUGUCUGGGGAGCUCACAGUCUGGAUAGGGUCAGACAUGGAAACAAGUAACUGCAAUACAGUGUGGCCAGUGCCACACGAGGGGGAAGUAGGGCAUGGCCAGGAGAAGCCUCUCAAAGAAGGCCUAGAAGGAGGGCAGAAUUAUGACAAAGCUGGGGACAGGUUUCAGUUUAGAAUGAGGAAUAACUUUCUAACAAUCAGAAUUAUGCAAGAAUAGAAAGCUGCUUGCUCCAUAUCUGGAGAUGUGUGAGCAGGGCUGAGUUGAUCACUUCACAGACUGGAUAUUGAUAUCUGUCAACAAAAGAGCCAAUGUGGAGGCUGCAGGGAACUCCUCAUAAUAACACAGUUAUUAAACCACUGCUUCCUCUUAAGUGCUAAGUACUGGGAUACGUAGACAAAGAAAAUUCCCUGGCUUAGAAAAGCUCACAGGUUAGGUAAAUUGAAACAGUAUAACACUACGGCCUUAUAUCAGUGUCUCUUGAAUUCGAAUAGUGUAUAGACCUUUUUAAAAGAGAAAAAUUAUUGAGGUACUCAGUGCUGACAAUCUAAAUAUGUUCAAAUUUAAACACAGUAUAAACUCCUGUAAAUGCAACUGUAAAAGUAUAUCUUUUACAGAGAUGAUUUUUAAUCAAUACAAACUUUUAUUGAAUAUGAACAAAAGUAAAAAACUAAUAAAAGGCUAAUAGCAAUACUAAUGCUACUGGUCAUAACAGAUUCUUUUGCACUCAACCUGCCAGUUCCAUAGAAGUAUUCCAGUUAGUUAAAUGGAGAAGGAAUGAUAGAAUCAGAGUUUCACAUUUUGCAAAUCUCUAAUAAAAUAAUGAAUCUGGGGAAUGGUCAUCACACACACA